rnacentral:snoRNA from 1 species
AAUGCAAGUGACGAUAAAACAGAUAGUGACUUCAGAACUCUUUUUAGAGUAUGAUGAUUUGUCGAUGGGAAUCUCUCCAAUGCAUU